ACAGACAGGCGACAGCGUCGCUGAGCACCAACUUCUAUUCCACGGAGGCAGACAGCGAAAACCAUUUCAUAACCAUGGCAAGGCAUGAGAGAAGCACAGGGUAGCUGCAAAGUUUUGGAAAAGACCUCUGCAACAACUGGAAGCACAGUGUACCCAAGUGGGGUAAAGUUAGUGAGAAGGAGCACAAAGUACAUACAGUCUUAUUGUCUACCUGGCAUUUUUUUUCAGUGAGGAAUUUUAAGAAGAAUAUAAAAGCUGAAGAGUCAUAAUAUGCUAUUCUUUGUAUAUGAAAAUGGCAGUCCUGACCUGCCAUUAGUCGGGGCACUUAUGGCUGUGAUAGAUUUUUUUGGGUCCAUCUGCCUUUGUUUCCAGGCACCCCAGGCUUCUCAGGACGAAAAGCGUAAUCGGUGACCUCAGAACAGAGCAACGCUAAUGAGGAUGACCCUGACCUCGGGAGAAUAGUGUUCUGACCCUCUGACCCAAACAAAAAUUAGAAAAGCUUGGGCAGUACAUUUAAGAGUAACUUUGGGAUUAGUUCUAUGAGUAUAAAGAUAAAUGAGAAAAUAAAUUCUACUCACAAGUAGAAAGACUUAGGUAAUUGUGUAAUAUUUGAAACACAAAACUUAAACUGAAAACUAUUACACUAGUAAAUUGAAUUACAUUAUCAUUCCUUUUAACUAACAUCAGAAUUACCUCUCCUUUGAUGUUUCCUUAGUUAAUAAGAACCAAAUCUUAUUAUAAUAAUUAAAGCUACUAGAAAAUGCUUUAAGCCUUUUUCUUUUUCAAAGAUGCAUUUAUUAGGUCUAUUUGAAGAAUAUACUGAAAUUGUACUCUCUUUAGAAAUUUUGAAAUAUCAUUUUUAUCAAUUGAUGUAUAUUUAGAUU
ensembl:lncRNA novel transcript